rnacentral:rRNA from 1 species
UGGGGAAUUUUGCACAAUGGGGGAAACCCUGAUGCAGCGACGCCGCGUGAUUUAGAAGGCCUUCGGGUUGUAAAAAUCUUUUCUAUGGGAAGAAAAUGACAGUACCAUAGGAAUAAGGACCGGCUAAUUACGUGCCAGCAGCCGCGGUAAUACGUAAGGUCCGAGCGUUGUCCGGAAUCAUUGGGCGUAAAGGGUACGUAGGCGGGUAAGCAAGUUAGAAGUGAAAUCCUAUAGCUCAACUAUAGUAAGCUUUUAAAACUGCUCAUCUUGAGGUAUGGAAGGGAAAGUGGAAUUCCUAGUGUAGCGGUGAAAUGCGCAGAUAUUAGGGGGAAUACCGGUGGCGAAGGCGACUUUCUGGCCAUAACCUGACGCUGAGGUACGAAAGCGUGGGGAGCAAACAGG